GAUUACCCGCUGAACUUAAGCAUAUCAAUAAGCGGAGGAAAAGAAAAUAACAAUGAUUUCCCUAGUAACGGCGAGUGAAGAGGAAAGAGCUCAAAGUUGGAACCUGUUUGGCCUAGCUAAACCGGAUUGUAGACUGUAGAAGUGUUUUCCAGGCAAGCCGAGUAAAUAAGUCCUUUGGAACAGGGCAUCAUAGAGGGUGAGAAUCCCGUCUUUGGCUUGAGCAUUUGCCUUUUGUGAUACGCUUUCAAAGAGUCAGGUUGUUUGGGAAUGCAGCCUAAAUUGGGUGGUAAAUCUCACCUAAAGCUAAAUAUUGGCGAGAAACCGAUAGCGAACAAGUACCGUGAGGGAAAGAUGAAAAGAACUUUGAAAAGAGAGUUAAACAGUAUGUGAAAUUGUUAAAAGGGAACCGUUUGGAGCCAGACUGGCUUGUCUGUAAUCAAUCUAGGCUUCGGCCUGGAUGCACUUGCAGGCUAUGCCUGCCAACGACAAUUUGACUUGAGGGAAAAAACUAGGGGAAAUGUGGCCCACUUGUGGGUGUUAUAGUCCCUUAGAAAAUACCUUGGGUUGGAUUGAGGAACGCAGCGAAUGCUUAUUGGCGAGUUUUCCAGGAAGGUUUUCUGAGGUACUACGGUAUCAAGGUUGAUCUUUUUGGUUAUACUUCUAUUCGCUUAG
rnacentral:rRNA from 1 species